GAUGAAGAACGUAGCGAAAUGCGAUAAGUAAUGUGAAUUGCAGAAUUCAGUGAAUCAUCGAAUCUUUGAACGCACAUUGCGCCCGCCAGUAUUCUGGCGGGCAUGCCUGUUCGAGCGUCAUUUCAACCAUCAAGCCCCCGGGCUUGUGUUGGGGACCUGCGGCUGCCCGCAGGCCCUGAAAACCAGUGGCGGGCUCGCUGUCACACCGAGCGUAGUAGCAUCAUCUCGCUCAGGGCGUGCUGCGGGUUCCGGCCGUUAAAAAGCCUCUAAUACCCAAGGUUGACCUCGAAUCAGGUAGGAAGACCCGCUGAACUUAAGCAUAUCAAUAAGCGGAGGA
rnacentral:misc_RNA from 1 species